UUUACUUUCAUUAAAAAAUAAAACGUGCUUAUUGCAUGCUUUUUCAUCGUGCAGUGCUUAACUCAUCUCUAAUCGAGCGUUCAAGGCCAGCGUGCCUAAAAUUUUAAGUCCAGCCCAACCCACGUGCGUGCCAUGCCGUGCCACGUGCUCCAUUGAAACAUGUUCGUGUUGUGCCGUGCCGUGCUGUACAGACACCUACCAUGCCACGUGUCGUCUGGCCCAUUGGCCAUCUCUAGCUUCAUGUGGUCCUUUUAAGAUCAUUAUUGGUUCAACCUUGCCCUUUCUAUAACUUUUUAAAUUUUAUAGCAAUGAUUUCGCAUAGUAGUCUGGGUAUAAUUAAAUUGAAAUGAUAGAUUGAAGCUCAUUUAAAAUCAACAACAAAAAGGUACUAUUUUAUAAGAAAAAAAAAGUAAGGGACUUAUCAUAAGUUUUUAAUUAA
rnacentral:lncRNA from 1 species